rnacentral:rRNA from 4 species
UUGGACCUGAUAUCAGGCAAGAUUACCCGCUGAACUU